rnacentral:tRNA from 1 species
ACAGUGGUGGUUCAGUGGUAGAAUUCUUGCCUUCCAGGCAGGAGACAAGUUUGAUUCCUGGCCAAUGCA